rnacentral:rRNA from 1 species
AACGGGUGAGUAAUGCGUGACCAACCUGCCCCAUGCUCCAGAAUAGCUCUUGGAAACGGGUGGUAAUGCUGGAUGCUCCAACUUGACGCAUGUCUUGUUGGGAAAGUGUUUAGUGGUAUGGGAUGGGGUCGCGUCCUAUCAGCUUGUAGGCGGGGUAAUGGCCCACCUAGGCUUCGACGGGUAGCCGGCCUGAGAGGGCGGACGGCCACAUUGGGACUGAGAUACGGCCCAGACUCCUACGGGAGGCAGCAGAA